CCCAUUAGCUCAAGCAAUAAAACUCCCUCUCAUAGAAACUGGCUGUGUUUUUAAGCACGAUUCAUCAUCAUAAAGCAUUGAGAGUCACUUUGGUCAUUUUUUUUCAGGCAGAGAACAGGUCAGUGUUGUUUUUUGUUGUCCUAGGAGUCACUCAUCAAACUUUCAUAGAAUCACAAACCAUUUUAUUUAUAUUCAGAGGGCUUACUGUUGUAGGUAUUCAUAUGCUGCAAAUAAAACCCAAUGGAAGUACAUUUGGAAACUGAGUUUUAGGGAAUACCUGGCUUAAUUUUUAAAGAAAAGAAAAGCAUCAUCAUUCUUUCCAUUCUUUUUAUUCAUAUGUGUAUUUUGUUUGGACUUCAGGUGCAAAGGGUAGAAUUGAUCACAAUUAUCUAUGGUUCAUAAUUGACAUUGAUUCAUUCAAAGCUUUAUCUUGCUUCAUUCAUUUAUUUACUCCUUUUACCCCUAUUUCCCAUUCCCAUUCCCUUUCAUGGGCAAACAUUCAAAUAUAUUUUCAUUUGUAAACUUUCGUUUGUGUGUGUAUUAUUCACUGUGUGGGUUUUAUUUCACUAUUUUAAAGUUAUAUAUUUAUAUUUGCUCUUAUGGCAUGUCUUAGUUCAGGCUGUUAAAAUACAAUCAAUACCACAGACUAGGUGGCAUAUACACCAAAAAUUUAUUCUCGAAGUUCUGGAGGCUGGGAAGUCUAAGAUCAAGGUACAAGCAGAUCUGGUGUCUGGUGAGGACCUGUUUUCUGGUUUUCAGAUAGCUGUCUUCUUGUAUCCUCACAUUGCAUUGUGCAGAAAGAGAGAAAAAAGCAAGUUCUCUGGUGUCUCUUUUUUAUAAGGCUCUACCCUUAUGACCUAAUCACCUCCCAAAGACCUCACCUACAAAUAUCAUCACCUUGGGGAUUAGACUUUCAGUAUAUGAAUUUGGGAGAACACAAACGUUCUGUCCAUAGCAUGGUAGUUUCCCCAACUUGGAACUUAAAGUCAUGUUAUUAAUACAUUGUUACAAGGUAUUUGAUUAUCCUUACUCUCUGUAUCUUUGGAAGUACCCUCGUGAGUUUUUUUUUUCUUGAAGCCUAUAUCACAUUAGUGUUUUUGAUAUUAGACUUUCAGUUAAUGUUAAAUCUAUGAGGCCUUUCUUAUUUUUUACCAAAGAAAAUCUUUUCUGAACCUUUGGCUGUAUAUAAAAUUCUAAGUUCAAAGUUUAUUUUCCAUUAAUACUUUAAAAAUAUGAUAUCUUGUUCUUUUUGUAUCCAGUGUUGCUUUAAUAAAUUUGACAGCAUUCUGAUUAUUAUUCCUGUGUAGGCAAUCUACUUUUUCUCUGUAGAAACUUUUAUAAUUAUUCAUUUUUCUUUGAUAUUCUCAAUAUAGAAUGUGUCCAUAUGUGUAUUUGCUUCCUUACCACUCCUGUAGCAAUCUAUGAGCCCAUUGUAUUUAAGAUCAUCCAUCUAGUAUUAUUGUGAAAUAAAUAGUUUUGAUAAUUUUUCAAAUAUCCUCUGAUUACUCCUAUUCUCUUACCUGUUUUCCUUUAUGUUUCUAUAUUUUUACCCCUUCUUCCUACGUUCUGACGGAGUUCUCUAAUCUGGUCUUAGGACUCAAAAAUUUGUUUUACAUUCUUUAUUUUUUAAUCCCUAUUACCCUGUUCAUUAAAUUUUUUUUUUGUUUUUAUGAUGUCUUGGUUUUACCUUAUAUUACUCAUGUUUCCUAAUUUUCUUAGAUAUAUUUUAUGCUUCUUUUACAUUAUUUUUUGUAUUGAGUUAAUUUUUUUGAAAAAAUUGUAAGAACACCUAAUAUGCAACCUACCCUCUUAACAGCUUAAAAAGUAUACAAUGCAGUAUUAUCAUUUGUAGGCACAAUAUUGUAUAGCAGACCUCUAGAACCUAUUCAUCUUUUUUAACUGAAAUUUUAUAUCGCUUGAUUAGGGCUCCCCAUUUCUCUCUCUUUCCAGCUCCUGGCAACCACCAUUCUAUUAUUUGCUUCUGUGAAUUUGAAUAUUUAAGAUAUAUAAGUGGUAUCAUGCAAUAUUUGUCAUUCUGUGAUUGAUUUAUUUCACUUAUUUUAAUGUCCUCAAGGUUCAUCUAUGUUGUCACACAUUGCAGGAUUUACUUUUUUUAAGGUUGAAUAACAUUUCAUUGAACAUAUAUACUAUAUAUUGUUUAUCCACUCAUCUGCCAAUGGAUAUUUUGGUUGUUUCUACCUCUUAGAUAUUGUGAAUAGUGCUGCCAGGAACAUGGAUACACAAGUAGCUCCUUGAGAUCCUGCUUUCAAUUCUUUUGAACAGAUACCCAGAAGUGGCAUUGCUGGUAAUAGCAAACCAUCUUGGACACAGCAGGGUCUAGUCCAUUAUGUGUACAGCAUUUCAUUAUACUUGCAAAAUUGUAACUAUG
rnacentral:lncRNA from 1 species